CCUACGGGAGGCAGCAGUGGGGAAUUUUGGACAAUGGGCGAAAGCCUGAUCCAGCAAUGCCGCGUGCAGGAAGAAGGCCUUCGGGUUGUAAACUGCUUUUGUACGGAACGAAACGGUCUGCUUUAAUACAGUGGGCUAAUGACGGUACCGUAAGAAUAAGCACCGGCUAACUACGUGCCAGCAGCCGCGGUAAUACGUAGGGUGCGAGCGUUAAUCGGAAUUACUGGGCGUAAAGCGUGCGCAGGCGGUUAUAUAAGACAGUUGUGAAAUCCCCGGGCUCAACCUGGGAAUUGCAUCUGUGACUGUAUAGCUAGAGUACGGUAGAGGGGGAUGGAAUUCCGCGUGUAGCAGUGAAAUGCGUAGAUAUGCGGAGGAACACCGAUGGCGAAGGCAAUCCCCUGGACCUGUACUGACGCUCAUGCACGAAAGCGUGGGGAGCAAACAGGAUUAGAUACCCUGGUAGUCCACGCCCUAAACGAUGUCAACUGGUUGUUGGGUGCAUUAGUACUCAGUAACGAAGCUAACGCGUGAAGUUGACCGCCUGGGGAGUACGGCCGCAAGGUUUGAAACUCAAANAGAGUGACGCGUGAGAGUAGCGAGACGACGACGAGGGAGGAGG
rnacentral:rRNA from 1 species